UUUGGAUGGGGGAAAGAGGACCAGAGGACUGCGUGUCCCCGUGUCCAUCCAAUUAAGACAUACGUGAAAUUCACUGAGAAUGUGCCAAACAUAUAACAAUGCUUUGACAAUUUUCACUUACAACCACGAAUUUUCGACUUGUUGCUCAUCUGUUAAGAUUCUUUGUUAAAUCCAAGUUUUUAUUUAUUGUUAAAUCUAAGUUUUCAAAUUUCAGCCAUAAAACACUUAAUUUCUAGCAACCCCGUUACCUUAUUGCCAGCUUUUGAUGGUAAAGGUUAUCAUUAACAGAGAAACAACCCCACCGUAAUCUAGGACACUUGUCAAACUUGAACUAUUGCAAUGUUCCCUAAGCGUUUUCGGGACCCCAAAACAGGUUUUCAUCUGCUUAGUUCAAUGAAUGCCAAGAAAUACCUGAAGAAUAUUGGGUUGGAAAGAGAAGACUACUACUUUUUUAAACGAGUUGGGAAGGCUUACUUUGCACCUAUGCAGUACUUGGGGCUCUGUGGCUCUACAAUAACAAUUCAUCACUGGGGUGGGGGAAACUGAAGCCACAACUGAAGGAGCAUGAAGAAGCAUUGAAGGAGUUCAUUGCCAAGGGAAAGAUGAUCGGAACAACUAAUAGUCCAAAAGGGAAGGCUGAGAGUGAUAAGGAGAAUUUUGAUGAGGAAGCUCAGAAGCUGUGGUUGAGGAUGAAGAAUGAGCUCAAAACUGAACUUAUGGAGAAUGGUUUUGAUGUUGAAUAAUUGUACAAUGAGUGAAUGCCAGUGACAUUCUGAUGAUACAUGAACUGAUUCUAUGGCUGUAUUGUAGUACACGUUAGGAAACUUGUGCAUCAUGGUGAAUAAGUAGCAUUUCGCUGUGUUAAGUGUUUGAUUAAACAUUGAUGAUAAAAGGAAUAAUCAGUCUGCUGUUCUACAAAUUCAAGAAAUCUUGUCAUAAA
rnacentral:lncRNA from 1 species